CAUGAAUAAGACACACAUUACAUUGUUUUUUAUUUUGCUUAUUCUCCUUCCUUAUGAGAUGAUGGCACAAAUAUUAGGAAAUCCAUGCAUCGAUGAAGAAUGCAAAUUGUCUUGUAUUUCUAGAGGUCGUAUAGAUGGUUAUUGCUGCUUAUCUCGUUUCAUCUGCAUAUGCGUAGUUAACGGUGGAAUACUUUCCCUCUAUCUUGUAUAAAGAGGUGAUUGUCUGUGUAUUUGGUUUCUCGAUUUUAUUAAUGCCGUUACUUAUUAAAAAAAAAUAUGCGUGACAAAAUAUGCGUGACCCGCUACAGUGUUGAUUGAA